UGGAAGUAAAAGUCGUAACAAGGUUUCCGUAGGUGAACCUGCGGAAGGAUCAUUAUUGAAUGCUCUCGAUGGGUUGUAGCUGGCUCCUCGGAGCAUGUGCACGCCUGUCUUGACUCUAUUCAUCCACCUGUGCACCUAUUGUAGUCUCAUCCGAGGGUCGUCGGUCGCAAGGCCGGAUGUGAGGGAUGCAGCGUGAAAGCGUGGCUCCCCUCUGAAGCUGGCUCUUCGGUGGACUAUGUCUUUAUUCACAAACCAUGUAGUAUGUUGCAGAAUGUAUUCAAUGGGCCRUUGUGCCUAUAAAACCUUAUACAACUUUCAGCAACGGAUCUCUUGGCUCUCGCAUCGAUGAAGAACGCAGCGAAAUGCGAUAAGUAAUGUGAAUUGCAGAAUUCAGUGAAUCAUCGAAUCUUUGAACGCACCUUGCGCUCCUUGGUAUUCCGAGGAGCAUGCCUGUUUGAGUGUCAGUAAAUUCUCAACCCUACCAGCUUUUGUGAGCUGGCACUUAGGGCUUGGAUGUGGAGGUUUUGCGGGCCUUUUGUUAGGUCAGCUCCUCUGAAAUGCAUUAGCGGAACCGUUUGCGAUCCGUCACAGGUGUGAUAAUUAUCUACGCCAGUGGGUUGCUCUCUGUUUGUUCAGCUUCCAACUGUCCUUCUGGACAAACAUACUGAACCUUGACCUCAAAUCAGGUAGGACUACCCGCUGAACUUAAGCAUAUCAAUAAGCGGAGGA
rnacentral:rRNA from 1 species